rnacentral:misc_RNA from 1 species
UUUGAUCUAAGAUUCAAAUUCCGUGGUCUUCCACCUCUAAUUAAGGAGCUUUAUGUGCGAUGUCGAUUUCAGAAGUUCUUGGAUGCAGGUGAUACAUUUAAUGAAGUUUCAAAUUCUUAUAGCCAUCUGAGGACCCUUGGAAUCAAUGCAUUUUGUUUCGAAAAGGUGGAUGAAGUUGCAAGUUUGCUCUCUUUGAUUGGAGGAGCCUUAAACUUACAAAUACUUGAUAUAAAAGCAUGCAGCUGCAAAAAUGAAGCUGUCUCUGAACCU